CCUACGGGUGGCAGCAGUGAGGAAUAUUGGUCAAUGGACGGAAGUCUGAACCAGCCAUGCCGCGUGCAGGAAGACGGCUCUAUGAGUGGUAAACCGCUUUUGUACAAGGGUAAAACUGAAUACGUGUAUUCAGCUGAAAGUACUGUACGAAUAAGGAUCGGCUAACUCCGUGCCAGCAGCCGCGGUAAUACGGAGGAUCCAAGCGUUAUCCGGAUUUAUUGGGGUUAAAGGGUGCGUAGGCGGCUUGCUAAGUUAGCGGUGCAAUGUCCGAGCUUAACUCGGGAACGGCCUCUAAUACGGUUGUUCUAGAGCGUAGGUGCGGUAGGCGGACUGUAUGGUGUAGCGGU
rnacentral:rRNA from 1 species